rnacentral:rRNA from 1 species
AGAGUUGAUCCUGGCUCAGAACGAACGCUGGCGGCAGGCUUAACACAUGCAAGUUGAACGGGAUUGAUUGGUAGCUUGCUAUUAAUCAUGAGAGUAGCGCACUGGUGAGUAACACGUGGGAACGUACCUAUUGGUGGGGGACAACAGUUGGAAACGACUGCUAAUACCGCAUAAGCCCUGAGGGGGAAAGAUUUAUUGCCGAUAGAUCGGCCCGCGGAAGAUUAGGUAGUAGGUGGGGUAACGGCCUACCUAGCCGACGAUCUAUAGCUGGUCUAAGAGGACGAUCAGCCACAUUGGAACUGAGACACGGUCCAGACUCCUACGGGAGGCAGCAGUGAGGAAUAUUGGGCAAUGGAGGCAACUCUGACCCAGCCAUGCCGCGUGAGUGAAGAAGGUUUUCGGAUUGUAAAGCUCUUUCAGAUGAGAAGAUGAUGACGGUAUCAUCAGAAGAAGCACCGGCUAACUUCGUGCCAGCCGCUGC